rnacentral:lncRNA from 1 species
CCACACCCAGGAAGCUUCUCUUCUAUUAGUCUCUCCAAUUGCUGCAAAUAUCCACUCCUAAAAGUCCCAUUAUCGCCCCUCCAACCUCCUCGGGUUACCAACUCAACCAAUGCCUCAACAAGCUUUGCAUCCUCCACAUAACCCCAUUUUCUGUUGCACUUUGUUCUUUUGUUUCCUGUUGAUGCUUCUCCAGCUAUUGAGGUGCUCAUAUCUACAUUCACAAUCUCAUAUAUUAUAAAUAUACAUUCACAAUCUACAAUGUAUAAUAGUUAUACAUUCACAACCUCACGACAUGAUCUUACAUUUGCAUUAUCUAAAUGAAUGGAUACAAGGGAACUAUUAAGUAAGAAUUUGACAUAACACAAGAUUAUAAUAUAGCAAGGAAAAUAUUAAACAAGGAUUACAGCAUAACACAUAAUGUUCAUACAAAUAUUAAGAGCCCCAAAUAUUAAACACAACAAACAUCACAAUUUUUUCUCAAAUUCUAUUAUGCUGCCACUCUUCAAACAUUUGGGCAGCAAGAUUAGCUCUGAAUGCAUUCCAAGAUGCAGAUGACUCAAUAUACUCAAUAUAUGCACCCUGCUCCUGUGGAAAAUUGCCAUGAGAGCACUCCUC